GACCGCCUCGGUAGCUUAGUGGUAGAGCGCCCGCCUCGAGUGCGGGAGGUCGUGGGUUCGAUCCCCGGCCGCGUCA
rnacentral:tRNA from 1 species